rnacentral:lncRNA from 1 species
GCCUGCUCGCUAGGCGAGCUGCUAGCGAAAAGCUCCAGUAAAUUAUCAAAUAAAUUCGCCAGGCGAGCUGAUAGCGAAGGUGGUAGCGAGUUCGUUCAGUUUUGGUGAAGAGCGCAGCCAGCACUCACUCGCUAGGCGAAGCUCUAGCGAGUCCCCAGCGAGCAUUCCAGUAGCAAAACCUCUCAACCUCGCUGGGGCGAAGGUUGGAGCGUGUCCUUCGCUAGGCG